AAAGUCCCUGUCGGGAAAGGUCUGGCCAGCCACCCGUACCGAGUGUUGCGUGCGGUCAGGACAGACACACCGUCGAACGACCCGCACGAAGCGCCGACAGGGAAUCAUACAGGCCACAGGGGAGACGGCGUUCCCUGAAGCAUGGUGCAGCAUCGUUAAGAGUAUAAAAGCGGACGGCGACGUUUUCAACGUGACGGAAGCCGACACAGAGGAAUCGUAAGAAUCUCUGCGAAGCCUGCCUCAGCGCU
rfam:Desulfobacteraceae bacterium 4572_88 ex4572_88_scaffold_909, whole genome shotgun sequence.